CAGUCGCCGCGGUAAUACGGAGGGUGCAAGCGUUAAUCGGAAUUACUGGGCGUAAAGCGCACGCAGGCGGUUUGUUAAGUCUGCUGUGGAAUCCCCGGGCUCAACCUGGGAAUGGCAGUGGAUACUGGCAAGCUAGAGUGUGUCAGAGGAUGGUGGAAUUCCCGGUGUAGCGGUGAAAUGCGUAGAGAUCGGGAGGAACAUCAGUGGCGAAGGCGGCAUCUGGGACAACACUGACGCUGAGGCACGAAAGCGUGGGGAGCAAACAGGAUUAGAUACCCGCGUAGUCCCUGUCUCUUAUACA
rnacentral:rRNA from 1 species